rnacentral:lncRNA from 1 species
UGUUUUGAAGAACAUGAUUUUGGCCUUAAGUGCUAGAGAGUUCGUUCUUCCAUUAAACAUGUGAAGUAUCCUAACAUAAACUAUAUCUAGUUGGAUAAAACGACUUCGCUAUGCAACGUGCCGUUUUCCAUUCUAAUCCACGACUUGAGUGAAAAAGGCUCGUCGGUAAUUUCCAAGAUUCUAGCACCUCGAGCCCAAGUUCCAUAGCCACCAUACCCGGUAUGUCUAGCAUAACACAACCACAUCUUCUCAUAUGGGCAGCACCAAUCGAGCCCGUGGUUUGA